AUGCUUUGGUAGUACAUAUACUAAAUUUGGAAUAAUAUAGAGAAUAUUAGUGUAGACCUUGCACAAGGAUAACACAUUUGUGAAAUGGAUAGGGGAGAACCAUU